ensembl:lncRNA
AUGAAGCAGGCGUCUUCCAAUGAGCGCCUUGCGAACACAAACCCUCCCUGCUGGGAGCCCGGGCCCCCGGCACUGUCCUCGCUGAGCCCCCCAGGACAAAGAGCUACGGGGAACACGCGCUCCCGCCCAGCCUACAGCAGCGCUCGCGGGCCUGGCUUCCAAGGGGGCGGGGCUGGGUUUCCACGCGCCAGGGACGAACUGGGCCCCGCGGUCACACAGGCUCCCUGCCAAGAGAGCUGUUCCUGCCCGCCCUCCCCGCUACCACCGGCCUCUCGCUCCAGUCCCGGGCCCUCGUACACCCGCGCGGGAUCGAUCGCCCCCCAGUACUUCAAACUCAGCCCGUCCGACCGCACUGCUCCUACUGUGCCUCGCCCUUUUAAGCAGCCGAGCCGCGCACGGCUCUUUUCCGAGGUACGCGCAUGCGUGCGAGGAGCGAGCGGAGCGGGCACAGGCCUUGGUUUCAUAAGCUGGCGGCUGAUCUCGCGCCUAGACGGGUGCGCACGAGAGUCGGUCCCGGGUCACUGACGUACAGUGUGGAAUUCCUGCUAAAGUGGUUAUGAUUAUACAAAGAGUGGUGUUGAACUCACGUCCUGGUAUGUAUUUUUUUCCAGCAAAAGAUCAGUGUAUUUUGUAUAAUUGCAUAAUACUCCUAAAUGGGGAGGGAAGAAAGUAACAUGAGAUAUUUCCAGAAAGUAAUGUGCAAUAGAAAAAGAGGUUUAUGAUAGAUGUGUAGUUAUUGAGCCUGUAUAUGCAGUCUUCAAACUUUUAAGCAAGAUCAUAGAGUUAGGUGUAAUAUUAGUGACUCAAUGGCAAUAGUCAAAGGCACACUAUCAUUUACAGCUUUUUAGCUUUAAAAUUUGUUCUCAUUUUACUCUGCUGUUUGUAAUUCACUCUGAGAUGAUUGACAAUAAUAUGCUUCUCUGCUGACUUUUGUCUUUUUCUUUUGGCAAACUUUGAAUCUCUGCUUCCUACCAUAUUUCUAAGGACCUUGAAAUUUACAUGGCUUUUGUUGUUGUUUGUUCUUUACUUCUUUGCUUAUGCACUUGCAUCACUGUAGAUGUCAGAACAGCUCUUGGAAUAGUGUUUAUUAGUUUGCUGCUGCAGAACUAGUUAACGUUUUGACUUUUUGGAUAUUUCUGUUUGGAAAUAGUUUUUGCAGGUAAAAACGACAGUGGUAUUUCCUGUAGAUAGGUGUUUCUCUAAAGCGAGUGAAGGAUCAAUCCGUGACCUAAAUUUGUGCAGUUAAUGCUAAAAAUGGCCCCAAUUCUUAGAUCUGGCUGAGGUGCACUUAGCACAGACCCUGGAGAGAAGCUCUCCAAUCCUGGAAAUUACCACAGCAUCUGGACUUCUCUAGUUGCUUAUGGCCCCAAAGGGAUUUUGUGGCAGGGAGGAAUAUCUAAAACAUAUUGGCACUCUGGCCAUACCAUAUUUUCCCCUGGCAAGACUUCUGUGUCAAGGGAGGCUGGAAAGGGAAGUGGUAUAGAGUCCAUCUGGCCAGAUCCACCAGCUUUCUGGAAGUGGCACAGAGAGGUUGUAUCAGACCAGAGAAACUGGCCCAAUGCCGCCUCUGUGUUUUAGAGUGCGGGGCUAAUCAGAACCUUGUCGCUACACAAGUAUGUCAUCGUCUUUGGAAAAUAAGAACAACUCAAUUUUUAUGAGCCAAGUUUGGAUUUGAUCUCUAUCUCAUUUUUCUAACCUGCCCUGAUAAAACUUUAUAGCUCUGGGGCUGUUCAGAACUUAGGAGUGGUGUUGGUUUGCUAACCUGGUUGUCCAGACUGUGAUACAGUGAAGUGAACUUAUACAUUAUGUGUAGAAAAUAUUAGCCUGAAUAAAUUUUAAAUUUUUAAUUUUUCUCA